rnacentral:lncRNA from 1 species
CUGCUCAAUGAUACCAUGAAGGAAAUCAAUUCCGUGACUGUUAUUGAUAAUGAAAUACCCUAUAUAUACAACUUACCUAGUUGACUAACAAUAAAUAUGAAACCUUAAUUAUAGGCGUAAUUACAAAGAGAAUAAAUAAUAUCCUAUUCUAUCAUUAUCAAGUGCUUAUCAUCAUGCCAUAGUCACACUCUUUUAUUUAUUUAUUUUAUUUCUUGCAUGUGCACAACGCUAAGCCUUUAGAAGAUGAGCAUCAACAUCCUUUGCAGCCUCAGUUACAAAGUCCAAGUAUCCAUAUGGUGGUGUAAUAUCUUCACUGAGCUUCUCAUACUCCAAAGUCAAUUUAAGAACGCCACCAGCAUUCUCCACAUCAAUCACUUGUAGGGUGAACUUGAAGGUCUUAUAUUUCUUACUUACCUCGCCAUCGAAUACAUUGAAUGUUAUUAACUUACUCUGCUCAUCAAUAACUUCAAUGUUCUCCUUACAUGUUUCUACUUUACCAUCUGCAGUUUCACAAGCAUUUAGUAUAUAUAUAUAAAAUACUAUAAAAAUAAUAGAUCAUGAGAAAUAUACUGACACGCUUAGAUUUAUAUAAAUUUAAUUCAUUAUGAUAUUUCGACAUACAAACAGUCUAAACAUCAAAUUUUCUAUCUAUUUCUUCUAUUCAUAUGUCAUAGUUAUGACUUCUUUUCUCUUAAUUUCUCACUUUGGGUGUUAUUUCAAUAUUGGCUAUGCGGAUGUAGUGCAUACGUUAAGACACCCAAAGUGAGAAUUAAAGGAAGAGAAUAGAGACAAGUAAUUAAUGUGAUACAAGAUAGAAAAAAUAGAUAGAAAGAAAAAUGAGGUGAUUAAGUGUUUGUUGGAUGUCUACAUAAAAUAAAUAGUAGCGCGAGUACAUACCGAUAGUAAUAGUCCAGAUCUUAACAGAACCAAUGUCAUGCCAGUCACCUUCAUGAACCUUUGUCUCAUGCACCCUUUGAGCAACGUUUUGAACACUGUGGAGUUGGGUGGUGUAAACUUUGAAGAACUUGUCAGAAGGACUUUGAAUACCAAAUUCAUGGACAACUUUACCUGUUAAAACCAUCUUUUAACAAAGAGAAGAGAUGAAGUAGUAAGUGAUCAUGGAACCUUAUUGGACAUUUAAAUAGACAAUAGCUUACUUAGUGUACCCCACAUGAACAACAUUUUUUUGUACAAAAUAAAUGUUUGGUAAUAUUGGAGUUUAGAUAGAGAAGCUUAGGUUAGGUUUGAUCGUGAACAGCUGUUGGGAUUCAAUUCUUCCAAGUUCCAAUCAUUCAACAAUAUUGAUUACAUAUCCUGCUAACUGGUAUUAAUUGAAAAUUUAGAAAUAGACCUUGAAUUGAUGAAAAUUUACAUGGCGCACGCAGAGCCACUUGAUCAUGCCUUAGUUAAGCUAGUAUAUGUGAAGAGUGAUGCUACAUAAUCAUCCACCACGAAUUAAACGAGAGAGUUAUUUCAACAUCACAUCACUCCUAACAAUCAUACAUAGUGGGCUCCAGUGUUUAAUAAGUAAUAAUUUUUGAAAUUUUCCAAUGAAAGCAAGGCAAUACAGAGGGCUAUGAAUUCGUUUUGAUUCAUCUACCAUUUCACAUAUGUGAUAGAAGUGUUGUAGCACAUGAAAUGAAAGCAGGUACUCCUACUCUGCGAGUUUAGAGGGGUAUUCUAUUUUUUUUGUUAGUUUUUGUUUUUAGGGUUGAGACUUGAGUAAAACUAGUAAAAUUGAUAUCUGGAUAGAAUUCGAAGAGGGAGACAGAUUGAAAGUGAUUGAAAACAUUGAUUUAUAAUUAUUAAUGACCAGACUUAAAAGGAAGAUAUUGUAGAACUGGCUUAUGGCACGUUUUUCACGUGGGUUUUUUUGUUACAAUUUUUUUUUGGUGGUAUUCAAAGUUGGAAAUAGAGAGUAACAGAUAAAAAAAAUAGGAUAAGCUAUAUUUACUACGUAACUUAACAGAAAUCACACUAUCAGAGUAGAGUAAGAGAAAGUGUUUGGCGGCUGAAUUUUUUUGUAUUUUCCUUAUUUUUUCUGCAUUUCAUACACAAUUACGUAUAGCAUGAAGAGUGACUGGUACAAAAUUAACAAAGAGUCACCACUAGUUGCUUAAUGCUUACUUUUUCACUCCAGUAAGCACUAAAUGUUUCUACUAAACAUAACCACACAUAUAAUUCUCUACUAAUAGCCGUUAUACUCCUCUAAGUAUUAAUUCAGCACAUUACUCAACAUACUUUCUCUUAAUGUACGUGUUGUUUUUGAACUCUCAUUACUUCUCUAAGUUGCUGAAAUCUUUCACUCGAUAAUGCUUUAGUGAAAAUAUCGGCUAGUUGCUCUUGUGAAUUGCAGAAAACCAAAUGCACAUCUUCUUCAAAUAUUACAGUUCGAAUGAAGUGAUGCUUCACGUUAAUAUGUUAGGUUAGACGAUGUAAACAAGACUCUUGGCCAUGAGGAUGACUGAUUUGUAGUUACAAUGAAGCUGGAGACUUUCCUUGCUUCUUUCCAAUAUCUUCUAAUAUUCUUCUCAACCAAAGUGUUCGCUCCUAUUAAAAUAUUCAACUUCAGGUGAAGAUUGCGGCGCCGUUGUGUCAUGCUUCUUUGAGCACCAUGAAAUCACACUCGAAUCAAGGUUGAACAUUGAUGACCCGAGUUCAAGGCUAUUUUUAGUUAUUUCGCAUAUAGUUUCAUUAAUUAAUUCGAGUAUUUAUGUCAUUUUUAAUGCAUGUAGGUCUCGUAUAAUGCAUUUUUAUAUUAAUUUGCUGAGGCUGUAGCUCGUUCGGGUCUGGCUUUCGAUGGGUUCGGUGGUGGUUGGCGUGUUCACGGGUCUCCGCCGAGAAGUGACAGCGGUGGUUCUCUAAGUGUAUGUGCGGCGGUAGAUCUGGACGGCUUGUUCUUGGGUGCGUGGCGGUGGUCUUCUCGUUUUUUCAUGGUUUGCGUGUUCUUCUCUUCAUCAAUGCCUCCUCCCUUCUUGAUGCUUCCUGCGACGUGUUUUUGGGUUUGUUUAGGACUGGAGCUUUUGAAGUGUUGAAUGUCGUUUCUUCUCCUCCGCCUUUCUGCAACUUUGGUGUCAGCGGCAGAUCUGGUGCUUCUUCCAACUCUAUUCACGAUGAGUUGCUGGGUGGAUUUAUGGCCGAAGCCACUGUAUAGCCAGUAUGCCGCUAUUCGUUGUCAUAGAACUUUUUUGGUUGUCAUUGCUUAUAAAACCUAAAUUGAUCUGAAAAGGCACAUGUGUCUUGGGUGUUUACAAUAAGACAAAUGCCCUGGGUCUUCACCUUAUAGAUUUAUCAUCAUUACCAUAGCAACUUCAUAUUUAUGAUGAUGUCAUCGAUCAACUUAAUUAAUUUAAUUAACAAUGUAAUGAAAUAGAAAUUUCUGUUGGUAUAUUCAUGUUUAACUUUGAUCUCAAAAUCACAAAAUUUUAAUAUUGAGAAUUUUUUUCCUGUCAAGUGAGGAUUAUAAGACUAAUCAAACUUUAAAUCAUAUAACAAUGUAUUAAUAAGAAUAAGGAUUAUUUUGAAAUGAAAAAAAUUGACCAAAACUUUUCAUUUGCUUAAACAGAAGCAUGAUGCAUACCUAUGGUACUAGUACUACGGUUGAAAUUCAAUAAAUUUAUUAUAUGUUAAAUAUUUUAAAAAUGCUUCAAGUGAGAAUUAGGCUAAUCAAACUUAAAAUCAUAUGAAUAUAUUGACAAGAAUGGAUUCGCUUACAAUACAUUGAUUGACUUCUUCUCUAAUUCACUCAGUACAAGGAAAUGAUCAGCAGAGGAAGAAGAAUAAAACUUUAUUCUUUAGUAAUCAUAGUUCACACCAAUAUUUUAGAUAAUGUUAUCAUUGUCAAGAGCUUAUCAUCAUGCCAUAGUCACACUCUUUUAUUUAUCUAUUUUAUUUAUUGUGCACAACGCUAAGCCUUUAGAAGAUGAGCAUCAAGAAUUCAAGAUCCUUUGCAGUCUCAGUUACAAAGUCCAAGUAUCCAUAUGGUGGUGAGCUUCUCAUACUCCAAAGUCCAUUUAACAACGCCACCAGCAUUCUCCACAUCAAUCACUUGUAGGGUGAUCUUGAAGGUCUUAUAUUUCUUACUUAUCUCGCCAUCGAAUACGUUGAAUGUUAUUAACUUACUCUGCUCAUCAAUAACUUCAAUGUUCUCCUUACAUGUUUCUACUUUUCCA